rnacentral:rRNA from 1 species
UCCUACGGGAGGCAGCAGUGGGGAAUUUUGGACAAUGGGGGCAACCCUGAUCCAGCCAUGCCGCGUGCGGGAAGAAGGCCUUCGGGUUGUAAACCGCUUUUGUCAGGGAAGAAAUCCUUUGGGUUAAUACCUCGGAGGGAUGACGGUACCUGAAGAAUAAGCACCGGCUAACUACGUGCCAGCAGCCGCGGUAAUACGUAGGGUGCGAGCGUUAAUCGGAAUUACUGGGCGUAAAGCGUGCGCAGGCGGUUUUGUAAGAUCGAUGUGAAAUCCCCGGGCUCAACCUGGGAACUGCAUUGGUGACUGCAAGGCUGGAGUGCGGCAGAGGGGGAUGGAAUUCCGCGUGUAGCAGUGAAAUGCGUAGAUAUGCGGAGGAACACCGAUGGCGAAGGCAAUCCCCUGGGCCUGCACUGACGCUCAUGCACGAAAGCGUGGGGAGCAAACAGGAUUAGAUACCCUAGUAGUCC